GCCCUCAUAGUAUAAUGGUUAUUACAGACCCUUGGUAAGGGUCAGAUGGUAGUUCAAUUCUACCUGAGGGCACCA
rnacentral:tRNA from 1 species